GACGAACGCCGGCGGCGUGCUUAACACAUGCAAGUCGAACGGAAAGGCCCUGCUUUUGUGGGGUGCUCGAGUGGCGAACGGGUGAGUAACACGUGAGUAACCUGCCCUUGACUUUGGGAUAACUUCAGGAAACUGGGGCUAAUACCGGAUAGGAGCUCCUGCUGCAUGGUGGGGGUUGGAAAGUUUCGGCGGUUGGGGAUGGACUCGCGGCUUAUCAGCUUGUUGGUGGGGUAGUGGCUUACCAAGGCUUUGACGGGUAGCCGGCCUGAGAGGGUGACCGGCCACAUUGGGACUGAGAUACGGCCCAGACUCCUACGGGAGGCAGCAGUGGGGAAUAUUGCACAAUGGGCGGAAGCCUGAUGCAGCAACGCCGCGUGCGGGAUGACGGCCUUCGGGUUGUAAACCGCUUUCGCCUGUGACGAAGCGUGAGUGACGGUAAUGGGUAAAGAAGCACCGGCUAACUACGU
rnacentral:rRNA from 1 species